rnacentral:rRNA from 1 species
AUUGAACGCUGGCGGCAUGCUUUACACAUGCAAGUCGAACGGUAACAGGCCUUCGGGUGCUGACGAGUGGCGAACGGGUGAGUAAUGCAUCGGAGCGUACCCAGAGGUGGGGGAUAACGCAGCGAAAGCUGUGCUAAUACCGCAUGUGAUCUGAGGAUGAAAGCGGGGGACCGAGCAGCAAUGUUUGGCCUCGCGCCUUUGGAGCGGCCGAUGUCGGAUUAGCUAGUUGGUGGGGUAAAGGCCUACCAAGGCGACGAUCCGUAGCUGGUCUGAGAGGACGACCAGCCACACUGGGACUGAGACACGGCCCAGACUCCUACGGGAGGCAGCAGUGGGGAAUUUUGGACAAUGGGCGCAAGCCUGAUCCAGCAAUGCCGCGUGCGGGAAGAAGGCCUUCGGGUUGUAAACCGCUUUUGGCAGGAACGAAACGGUGUCCGCUAAUACCGGGCGCUAAUGACGGUACCUGCAGAAUAAGCACCGGCUAACUACGUG